UACGAGGGGGGCGAGCGUUGUUCGGAAUUAUUGGGCGUAAAGGGUGCGUAGGCGGUUUGGUAAGUCUCGUGUGAAAUCUCCGGGCUCAACUCGGAGCCUGCACGAGAAACUGCCGGGCUUGAGUGUGGGAGAGGUGAGUGGAAUUCCUGGUGUAGCGGUGAAAUGCGUAGAUAUCAGGAGAACAGCCUGUGGCGAAAGCGGCUCACUGGACCAUAACUGACGCUGAUGCACGAAAGCUAGGGGAGCAAACAGG
rnacentral:rRNA from 1 species